rnacentral:rRNA from 1 species
AAACUUUCAACAACGGAUCUCUUGGUUCUGGCAUCGAUGAAGAACGCAGCGAAAUGCGAUAAGUAAUGUGAAUUGCAGAAUUCAGUGAAUCAUCGAAUCUUUGAACGCACAUUGCGCCCGCCAGAAUUCUGGCGGGCAUGCCUGUUCGAGCGUCA